CUCCCUGCGGGGCUUGAGGUGGUGCACGGCUAUGAGGUUUCCAGACAAGUGAAAGACGGGCCACCGCAGAGUCACGGUCCCGUCCUCAGUCCUGAUGUCUCUGGAGAUGGUGUCAAAGGAUCCGAAGCACAGCAGUCAGGGCAGAAGCAGCCUGAUGGGAUCCAGAGGCUUCCCGCGAGCGGGAUCAGCCCUGAGACAGGACAGCGCCCAGCACAAGUGAUCCUGCGGGAUUUGCAGGAAGCCCAUGGCAUGCCCAGUAGAGACACGUGGGGAGGUGCUCUUGUACGUAGGCGGCCACCGCAUCCCAGACGGCAACUCGCUCUGGAGGGCAAAGGAAAAGCGGGUCACACUCUGCACCUGCCGCUUCCCAGCAGCCCUCCCGCUGCCAGGCGGGAGUGAGGUGGCAGAUGGAAAGUGUCGUCUGCGUGCCAGGAUUGGCUGCAGCAGCGCUCCUGUGGUGGCUGUGGAGCCGUGUACCUUCGGUGUCGGUGCAGGUGGGUAUGGAGGCACGCCUCGCUGCGGGGCCAUCCUCGCAGAAGCUCAUCCUGUUCCGCCUCGUGCCAGCGGGUUGCUCCUUGUUGGCGCCAGCCAUGCCGGAGCUCAUCCCUUCAGGUGCGUCUGCUCUCUACCAG
rnacentral:lncRNA from 1 species